rnacentral:rRNA from 1 species
GGACAGAGGGUGCAAACGUUGCUCGGAAUUACUGGGCGUAAAGCGCGUGUAGGCGGUUUCCGCAAGUCAGGUGUGAAAGCCCAGGGCUCAACCCUGGAAGUGCACUUGAUACUACGGAGCUUGAGUACUGAAAAAGAAAGCGGAAUUCCCGGUGUAAAGGUGAAAUUCGUAGAUAUCGGGAGGAACACCAGUGGCGAAGGCGGCUCUCUGGGC